CCUUGCUUAACUUUCAACAUUAAUGAUAAUGAUUGAUAUUAGAUAUUUCAUGUACUAGUGAAAACGCAUAAAAGAGAAAAAUAAUGAGACUAGCCUUGUUUCGCCACACAUUAAAGAUUUUGAAACGGUAAUUGUCUGCAUGUCUGUCUCUAAUGAAGUAGAUUGAAUAUACAUAUUUGUGUUUUGACUUAAUAUAUAAAGAAGCAGUUU
rnacentral:lncRNA from 1 species